rnacentral:ncRNA from 1 species
AUCGAAGAGGCGCGACCGACACUAGUAAGCUAAUUUAGUUUGCCAAACGAUAAGGUUAGUUGAACAGGGAAGUUGCCGAAGCACUUAAUUUGGCAUUAUUAAGUAGCUGGGUCGUGGUUGAAUAAGCUACGGACUGUCGCAGGACAAUAGGAGCCUGCGUUGCGCUAU